CGUGUUUCCUAGUGCUUCCUUUCUUUUGAGUUAUUAAAUAAUUUUGUUUUCCCUUGAGCUUACCUGCCUGCUUGCUCCUGCAAUUGGGCCCAACCAACCUCCUCACACAUAACAACUGAGGAGGUGGUGAUCGAAGCAGAGUUGUUUUUUUGUCUGCCUUCCUCUCGCUAUGAGGCAGUGAUCACCAGGGAGACGGGAGUUGAUCCUCUGGAGUCACAGUUAUCCUCUGUGAUUUAAGAGAAACGGCAUAGCGUGUCCAUCAGCUGGCACCCGUGAGGCCCUCGACACCACUGCUGCGUCCUGAUUGCCUGGUGUAAACCCCGCUCGUCUUCCUUCUUACAUCACAUAUUCAGAUUGCUGACUGCCAGCAUCGCUGUGUGCACGUACCACUGAGACUGAGGCUGAGGCUGUGGCUUUGCAUCGAGCAGGAGAUGGACCAUAUAGAAUGUCACAAGGCGUCUGCUAACAUCUGGAGGAGGGAGAUGACAGCUGGAGCGGCAACUCGCAAGACAAUGACCUUCAAACAGCACACAGAGGUCAUCUUGGAUCUUUUGUGAAAAGUUGCACAACCAGUUAAUCACAAGGCUUCAUGAUCCUUGUUAUUAUUAUGGGAUGGUGUGUAGAAAAUACAGUUUGAGAAUAGAGGAUUUUCUGUUAAACUCUUGAACAGUGUAUGUAUCAUAGGGAAUAACAGCAACUCAUAAACCUUAUUAUUAUCUGCAGUUUUUUAAGGAAUGAAAGUUGCCUCACUGCUUCUACACAGUGUCAGCUACUCAGUCACAUUAAUGCAACUUCAAAUACAAAUUGUGUGUGUGUGCUCGUGUCAGCAUGUGUGUGUGUGUGUGUGUGUGUGUGUGUGUGUGUGUGUGUUGGCAUAUGCUCAGAUGUGCAUGGUGACAGUGGGAGCACUCAGGUCACUGAUGACAAAGGUUUGAGCCCUGCCUGCCUUUCUCAGCAGAUUUCCCCAUGGACCCACCUUUACCUUUUCAAACUGUCAUUUUUUCCUUCUUCUUCUUCUUCUUCCAUUUGUGUCUGGCCUCUUUGCUGAAGCCAGGCCAUUUCAGCUCGUCUCUCUGAUCCGCCACACUUGCACGCCUGCUUUGUCUCUAUGCACAGACAGUGGCAAAAUGCAAAUGCAUUAACAGCAGUGGAGUAAUUUGAUCAUUUUAAUCUGCAAGCGCUCACUUUGACUCAAUUAGCAUUUUGCAUGGGGAGGAAACUUGAUGGAAUAUUAAUUAGAUCAGCAGUUUUUUUGGUUGUGUGACAUAAGACAUUACUCCUAAAGGCCUAUUAUGUAGUUGCACUAAAAAUACCCCAUAGAAACACUGUUGCCCCACUGCUGAUUUUGCUCACAUUGUGUUUUCUUGGCUCUCCUCACCAUUUAUUGUGUGAAAGCACAUUAUGUAACCUCUGCAUCUAUUUCAUUUACAUUGUAAUUCCCUAGUUUAGCUUAGUUACUUGAAAUGUCGCUUUAAAAUA